AGUGAACGCUGGCGGUAGGCCUAACACAUGCAAGUCGAACGGCAGCACAGGAGAGCUUGCUCUCUGGGUGGCGAGUGGCGGACGGGUGAGGAAUACAUCGGAAUCUACUUUUUCGUGGGGGAUAACGAAGGGAAACUUACGCUAAUACCACAUACGACCUACGGGUGAAAGCAGGGGACCUUCGGGCCUUGCGCGAUUGAAUGAGCCGAUGUCGGAUUAGCUAGUUGGCGGGGUAAAGGCCCACCAAGGCGACGAUCCGUAGCUGGUCUGAGAGGAUGAUCAUCCACACUGUAACUGAGACACGGUCCAGACUCCGACGGGAGGCAGCAGUGGGGAAUAUUGGACAAUGGGCGCAAGCCUGAUCCAGCCAUACCGCGUUGGUGAAGAAGGCCUUCGGGUUGUCAAGCCCUUUUGUUGGGAAAGAAAUCCAGCUGGCUAAUACCCGGUUGGGAUGACGGUACCCAAAGAAUAAGCACCGGCUAACUUCGUGCCAGCCGCCGCAGUAA
rnacentral:rRNA from 1 species